GACGAACGCUGGCGGCGUGCUUAACACAUGCAAGUCGAGCGGUAAGGCCCUUUCGGGGGUACACGAGCGGCGAACGGGUGAGUAACACGUGGGUGACCUGCCCUCAGCUCUGGGAUAAGCCUGGGAAACCGGGUCUAAUACCGGAUAUGACUCCAUGACGCAUGUUGUGGGGUGGAAAGCCUUGUGCGGCUGAGGAUGGGCCCGCGGCCUAUCAGCUUGUUGGUGGGGNGAUGGCCUACCAAGGCGACGACGGGUAGCCGGCCUGAGAGGGCGACCGGCCACACUGGGACUGAGACACGGCCCAGACUCCUACGGGAGGCAGCAGUGGGGAAUCUUGCGCAAUGGGCGAAAGCCUGACGCAGCAACGCCGCGUGGGGAUGAAGGGCUCUCGAGUUGUAAACCCCUUUCAGCAGGGACGAAUCUGACGGUACCGGGUGAGGAAGCCCCGGCUAACUCUGUGCCAGCCGCCGCAGUAAG
rnacentral:rRNA from 1 species